GACGAACGCUGGCGGCGUGCUUAACACAUGCAAGUCGAACGGUAAGGCUCCAGCUUGCUGGGGUACACGAGUGGCGAACGGGUGAGUAACACGUGGGUGACCUGCCCUGCACUUCGGGAUAAGCCUGGGAAACUGGGUCUAAUACUGGAUAGGACCAUGGUGUGGAUACUGUGGUGGAAAGUUUUUUCGGUGUGGGAUGGGCCCGCGGCCUAUCAGCUUGUUGGUGGGGUAAUGGCCUACCAAGGCGGCGACGGGUAGCCGGCCUGAGAGGGUGGACGGCCACAUUGGGACUGAGACACGGCCCAGACUCCUACGGGAGGCAGCAGUGGGGAAUAUUGCACAAUGGGCGGAAGCCUGAUGCAGCGACGCCGCGUGGGGGAUGACGGCCUUCGGGUUGUAAACUCCUUUCACCAUCGACGAAGGGUUUCUGACGGUAGAUGGAGAAGAAGCACCGGCUAACUACGUG
rnacentral:rRNA from 1 species